UGGGUGAUUAGCUCAGCUGGGAGAGCACCUCCCUUACAAGGAGGGGGUCGGCGGUUCGAUCCCGUCAUCACCCACCAA
rnacentral:tRNA from 1 species